rnacentral:lncRNA from 1 species
AAAAAUAAAAACGCUAAUUUUAACGACGCUAACGCUUCCAGCUAAACCUUAAACCCUAAAUCUUAAAUUCUAAACCCUAUACCAUAAAUUCUAAACCCAAAUCAAAACCCCUAAACCCAAACCCUAUACCCUAAACCCUAAUCCUAGACUCUAAACCCAAAUUAUAUACCCUAAACCCAAAAACUAGACUAUAAAUCUAAACUCUAUACCCUAAACCCAAGUCCUACACCUUAAACCCAAACCGUAAACCUUAAACCCUAAUCCUAGACCCUAAACCCUAAUCCUAAACCCUAAACCCAAAUUCUAUACC